AUUCUGGAAGAAAGCAUGGUUGGCUGAACCAGCUCCCUCCCCAGCUGUUCCUGAAGGAGGGUUGAGGAAGCUUGUUCAGUUCACAGAGUCCACAGAAGGGGAGCCUGCCACACUCACAGAGGAUCCGAGACUCUGCGCCUUGCCAACCCUCUUGGGCUGCCACAUGCACAGAGCACAGAGCUACCCUCAAACGGAGGCCAUCACUUACUGAGUGAUCUUGUCAUGCA